rnacentral:rRNA from 1 species
UGGUGGCUAUGCCGGAAGGUCCCCACCCGAUCCCAUUCCGAACUCGGUCGUUAAGCCCUCCAGGGCCGAUGGUACUUCGUCUUAAGGCGCGGGAGAGUAGGUCGUCGCCA